rnacentral:rRNA from 1 species
AGCCAUGCAUGUCUAAGUAUAAGUAUUAUACAGCGAAACUGCGAAUGGCUCAUUAAAACAGUUAUGGUUUAUUUGAUAAUCGAAUUUUACAUGGAUAACCGUGGUAAUUCUAGAGCUAAUACAUGCUGGUGUGCCUGACUUUUCGGAAGGGCGGUAUUUAUUAGAUAACGAACCAAUAUUCCUCUGGUCUAUUGUGGUGAAUCAUAAUAACUGAUCGAAUCGCAAAGCCUUUGGCUGCGAUAUGUCAUUCAAGUUUCUGCCCCAUCAGCUUUCGAUGGUAGUGUAUUGGACUACCAUGGCUUUUACGGGUAACGGAGAAUUAGGGUUCGAUUCCGGAGAGGGAGCCUGAGAAACGGCUACCACAUCUAAGGAAGGCAGCAGGCGCGUAAAUUACCCAAUCCUGACUCAGGGAGGUAGUGACAAGAAAUAACGGACCGGCCUUUUAGGUUCGGGAUUGCAAUGAGCCGAAUUUACACCCCUUAGCGAGGACCCAUUGGAGGGCAAGUCUGGUGCCAGCAGCCGCGGUAAUUCCAGCUCCAAUAGCGUAUAUUAAAGUUGUUGCAGUUAAAAAGCUCGUAGUUGGAUUUCUGGGGAGGUGCCAAUGUCACCUUUGUGUUGCGCAGCGGCGCCUCUCCAUCCUUCUGUUAACGUCGUUGGACCUUAAUCAGUCUGCGGCGGGCUCAGAUAUUUUACCUUGAGAAAAUUAGAGUGUUUCAGGCAGGCCAGGCCGGAAUACAUUAGCAUGGAAUAAUGGAAUAGGACUUUAGUCUCUUUGUUGGUUUGGGGGACUGCAGUAAUGAUUAAUAGGGAUAGUUGGGGGGCAUUAAUACUUAACUGUCAGAGGUGGAAUUCUCAGAUUUGUUAAAGAUUAACUUAUGCGAAAGCAUUUGCCAAGGAUGUUUUCAUUAAUCAAGAACGAAAGUUAGGGGAUCAAAGACGAUCAGAUACCGUCC